UUGAUCCUGGCUCAGAUUGAACGCUGGCGGCAUGCCUUACACAUGCAAGUCGAACGGCAGCACGGGCUUCGGCCUGGUGGCGAGUGGCGAACGGGUGAGUAAUACAUCGGAACGUGCCCUGUAGUGGGGGAUAACUAGUCGAAAGAUUAGCUAAUACCGCAUACGACCUGAGGGUGAAAGCGGGGGACCGCAAGGCCUCGCGCUACAGGAGCGGCCGAUGUCUGAUUAGCUAGUUGGUGGGGUAAAAGCCUACCAAGGCGACGAUCAGUAGCUGGUCUGAGAGGACGAUCAGCCACACUGGGACUGAGACACGGCCCAGACUCCUACGGGAGGCAGCAGUGGGGAAUUUUGGACAAUGGGGGCAACCCUGAUCCAGCAAUGCCGCGUGUGUGAAGAAGGCCUUCGGGUUGUAAAGCACUUUUGUCCGGAAAGAAAUGGCUCUGGUUAAUACCUGGGGUCGAUGACGGUACCGGAAGAAUAAGCACCGGCUAACUACGUG
rnacentral:rRNA from 1 species